GACGAACGCUGGCGGCGUGCCUAAUACAUGCAAGUCGAACGCAGUGGGGACGGGUGAGUAACACGUGGGUAACCUCCCAUCAGAGGGGAUAACACUUGGAAACAGGUGCUAAACCGAUACUGAUGGAUGGACCCGCGGUGCAUUAGCUAGUUGGUGAGGUAACGGCUCACCAAGGCCACGAUGCAUAGCCGAGCUGAGAGGGUGAUGGGCCACACGGGGACUGGGACGCGGACCAGGCACGUACGGGAGGCAGCAGUAGGGAAUCUGCGGCAAUGGACGAAAGUCUGAACGAGCAACGCGGCGAAAGUGGAGGAUGUUUUUGGAUCGUAAAACUCUGUUGUUGGAGGAGCGGUAUCUAACCAGAAAGCCACGGCUAACUACGUGUCAGCAGCCGCGGUAAUAC
rnacentral:rRNA from 1 species